rnacentral:rRNA from 1 species
AUCACGACUCUCGGCAACGGAUAUCUCGGCUCUCGCAUCGAUGAAGAACGUAGCGAAAUGCGAUACCUGGUGUGAAUUGCAGAAUCCCGCGAACCAUCGAGUCUUUGAACGCAAGUUGCGCCCGAGGCCGUCCGGCCGAGGGCACGCCUGCCUGGGCGUCACGC